rnacentral:tRNA from 1 species
GCACCUGUAGCUCAGGGGAUAGAGCACGGCCCUCCGGAGGUCGGUGCGGCGGUUCGAUUCCGCCCAGGUGUG